UUGCCUGUCUACCACCUGUUUGAACAUUGCGCUGGGGCCGUACCUGGCCAAUCACGCAUUAAUUAGUUUACGCAAAAUGCUAUUCAAAUACUUGACAUUCAAUGAUUAAUCUGCCUUUUGUGUGCACACGUGCACUCUUUGAGCCAUGAGAAUGCAAGGCAAGGGUAUU